rnacentral:rRNA from 1 species
GAUGAACGCUGGCGGCGUGCCUAAUACAUGCAAGUCGAACGCUGGAAAUCUAGCUUGCUAGAUUGAAGGAGUGGCGAACGGGUGAGUAAUACAUAAGCAACCUACCCACGAAGACUGGGAUAAUCUCUGGAAACGGGGACUAAUACCGGAUAGGUAAUCGGAAGGCAUCUUCUGAUUAUUAAAGGUUAAAAACACUGGUGGAUGGGCUUAUGGCGCAUUAGUUAGUUGGUGAGGUAACGGCCCACCAAGACGAUGAUGCGUAGCCGGCCUGAGAGGGUGAACGGCCACAUUGGGACUGGGACACGGCCCAGACUCCUACGGCCGGCAGCAGUAGGGGAUUUUCGGCAAUGGGGGAAACCCUGACCGAGCAACGCCGCGUGAGUGAUGACGGCCUUCGGGUUGUAAGGCUCUGUUGUAAGGGAAGAACGGUAGAUAGAGAAUAUCUAAAUGACGGUACCUUACCAGAAAGCCACGGCUAACUACGUG